AGCCACAGCCAUAUCACCCUGCAGCCCAAGACUGGUUGCCCACUGAACUAAGCAGGGUUGAGCCUGGUCAGUACCUGGAUGGGAGACCUCUUGGGAAAACUAGGUUGCUGUUGGAA
rnacentral:rRNA from 1 species